UACGGAGGGGGGCUAGCGUUGUUCGGAAAUACUGGGCGUAAAGCGAACGUAGGCGGCUUGGCAAGUCAGGGGUGAAAUCCCAGUGCUCAACACUGGAACUGCCUUUGAAACUGCCAGGCUUGAAUCCUGGAGAGGCGAGUGGAAUUCCGAGUGUAGAGGUGAAAUUCGUAGAUAUUCGGAAGAACACCAGUGGCGAAGGCGACUCGCUGGACAGGUAUUGACGCUGAGGUUCGAAAGCGUGGGGAGCAAACAGG
rnacentral:rRNA from 1 species